CGGACGGGUGAGUAACGCGUGGAAAACCUGCCGUAUACUGUGGGAUAACACUUAGAAAUAGGUGCUAAUACCGCAUAAGCGCACAGCUUCGCAUGAAGCGGUGUGAAAAACUCUGGUGGUAUACGAUGGUUCCGCGUCUGAUUAGCUAGUUGGUGGGGUAAUGGCCUACCAAGGCAACGAUCAGUAGCCGGCCUGAGAGGGUGAACGGCCACAUUGGGACUGAGACACGGCCCAAACUCCUACGGGAGGCAGCAG
rnacentral:rRNA from 1 species